UCGGCGAUCUUGUCCUCCAAGUAAUCGACGCCCUCUCCGAUGGCCAAUCCACCCAGAACUCCAGCAACCGCACCCACCGCCAGUCCCGUUCCCAUCCCGUACUUGCUCUUCUUCUUCUCCUCUGGCUGCCCGUAGUACGCCUGAUCGCCAUACGCCGGCUGUCCAUAACUCGCUUGACCGUACGACGGCUGCCCGUAAUUCGAUUGACCGUACGGAGCCGGUGCGUUGUACCCGCCGUAGGGGUAUCCGGACGGCGGAGCCGUUGAAUAGUAAGGAUUGGGAGGAGCAGAGUACGGAGCGGCAUAGGGAGGAGGCGGCGGAGCAGAGAAAUCCCUAGCGGUACCCGGCGGUGGGACUCCAUACGGUGGCGCGUAAUAAGAAUCGGAUGUUCGGUAACGUGGUUCUCGGACUGUUACUUUAACUUCGACUUUCCCUUGCGGCCUGCCGGAGGGCCGUUUCAAUUGAAGAGUUCGCUGAGAGCUUUCGCCGAGGCCGACAUCAUCAACGACCUCCGAGAGGCGGAGUCGAGCGGAGCCAAUCAGCGGCUUGGUGUCUUCAUCGGCAUCGACGACGUGGACGACGUCGAUGUGCAACGUAGCAUCUUCGAUCGGCGAUGAGAACGGAAUGACGAGCGUUUCGUCCCAGUAAGGCGAUGUAUCUCCUUCGGGGUCAACCUUUGUCGACGAUUUAUUCUUCGGAUCGAUCCAAACGACGGCGUACGGCUUCAGGGUGCCGUAUUUCCAGUUGAUGUUCUUGAGAUCUCUGGCGGACUGAAUUUUCACUUCCAAUUCGUAACGAGAGGCCAUCGCCGGUGCCGGAAAAUUCAGUUCAAGGGUGAAUUGAAAGAUGAGAAUCG
rnacentral:misc_RNA from 1 species